GCCUUUGUAGUGUGGUGGUCUGCAUGCUCGGCUUGUAUUUGAGAGGUCCAUGGUUCGAUUCUCGGCAAGGGCA
rnacentral:tRNA from 1 species